rnacentral:rRNA from 1 species
CAGUCGCCGCGGUAAUACGUAGGUGGCAAGCGUUGUCCGGAAUUAUUGGGCGUAAAGGGCUCGCAGGCGGUUUCUUAAGUCUGAUGUGAAAGCCCCCGGCUCAACCGGGGAGGGUCAUUGGAAACUGGGAAACUUGAGUGCAGAAGAGGAGAGUGGAAUUCCACGUGUAGCGGUGAAAUGCGUAGAGAUGUGGAGGAACACCAGUGGCGAAGGCAACUCUCUGGUCUGUAACUGACGCUGAGGAGCGAAAGCGUGGGGAGCGAACAGGAUUAGAUACCCCCGUAGUCCCUGUCUCUUAUAA